rnacentral:rRNA from 1 species
UGCGAGUCGAGAGGGUUCGGCCCUCGGCAAACGGCUCAGUAACACGUGGGUAACCUACCCUCAGGACAGGGAUAACCCCGGAAAACUGGGGAUAAUACCUGAUAAGCGGAUAUGUCUGGAAUGGCUUUCCGCUAAAAUGCUCUGGCGCCUGAGGAUGGGCCUGCGACCGAUUAGGUUGUUGGCGGUGUAAUGGACCACCAAGCCUGCGAUCGGUACGGGCGUUGAGAGACGUAGCCCGGAGAUGGGGACUGAGACACGGCCCCAGGCCCUACGGGGCGCAGCAGGCGCGAAAACUCCGCAAUACACGAAAGUGUGACGGGGGGACCCCAAGUGCUCUCGCGCAAGCGAGUGCUUUUGUGAAGUGUAAAUAGCUUCAAGAAUAAGAGCUGGGCAAGACUGGUGUCAGCCGCCGCGGUAAUACCAGCUCUCCGAGUGGUAGGGAUGAUCAUUGGGCUUAAGGCGUCCGUAGCCGGCUUAGCAAGUCUCCUGUUAAAUUCUGUGACCUAAUCGUUGAGCCGCGGGAGAUACUACUAGGCUAGGAGGCGGGAGAGGUCGACGGUACUUCUGGGGUAGGGGUGAAAUCCUAUAAUCCCGGGAGGACCACCAGUGGCGAAGGCUGUCGACUAGAACGCGCUCGACGGUGAGGGACGAAAGCUGGGGGAGCGAACCGGAUUAGAUACCCGGGUAGUCCCAGCCGUAAACGAUGCGGGCUA